rnacentral:rRNA from 1 species
AAUAGAUACCCCGGUAGUCCACGCCGUAAACGAUGAGUGCUAAGUGUUAGAGGGUUUCCGCCCUUUAGUGCUGCAGCUAACGCAUUAAGCACUCCGCCUGGGGAGUACGGCCGCAAGGCUGAAACUCAAAGGAAUUGACGGGGGGCCCGCACAAGCGGUGGAGCAUGUGGUUUAAUUCGAAGCAACGCGAAGAACCUUACCAGGUCUUGACAUCCUCUGCCAACCCUAGAGAUAGGGCGUUCCCCCUUCGGGGGACAGAGUGACAGGUGGUGCAUGGUUGUCGUCAGCUCGUGUCGUGAGAUGUUGGGUUAAGUCCCGCAACGAGCGCAACCCUUGAUCUUAGUUGCCAGCAUUUAGUUGGGCACUCUAAGGUGACUGCCGGUGACAAACCGGAGGAAGGUGGGGAUGACGUCAAAUCAUCAUGCCCCCUUAUGACCUGGGCUACACACGUGCUACAAUGGAUGGUACAAAGAGCUGCGAACCCGCGAGGGUAAGCGAAUCUCAUAAAGCCAUUCUCAGUUCGGA